CCUACGGGAGGCAGCAGUAGGGAAUUUUCCACAAUGGGCGAAAGCCUGAUGGAGCAAUACCGCGUGCAGGAUGAAGGCCUUCGGGUCGUAAACUGCUUUUAUGUGCGAAGAAUUUGACGGUAACACAUGAAUAAGGAUCGGCUAACUACGUGCCAGCAGCCGCGGUCAUACGUAGGAUCCAAGCGUUAUCCGGAAUUACUGGGCGUAAAGAGUUGCGUAGGUGGCAUUAUAAGUGGAGCGUGAAAGCGUGCGGCUCAACCGCAUUAUUGCGUUCCAAACUGUGGAGCUUGAGUAUGGGAGAGGUAGAUGGAAUUUCUAGUGUAGGAGUGAAAUCCGUAGAUAUUAGAAGGAACACCGAUGGCGUAGGCAGUCUACUGGCCCAUUACUGACACUAAGGCACGAAACCGUGGGGAGCAAACGGGGAUUAGAUACCCCGGUAGUCCACGCUGUAAACUAUGGAUGCUAGCUGUGACACACACCGACCUGUGUCGUAGCGAAGUUAACGCGUUAAGCAUCCCGCCUGGGGAGACGUCGCGAGAUAACUUAAGUAAGUAGACGCGUGAGAGUGCGACGACGACGACGAGGGAGAGG
rnacentral:rRNA from 1 species